rnacentral:lncRNA from 1 species
ACUAAACAAGGCCUAGGAUGCCCAUUGCAAGCGGUCACCAAGCAAGCCAAACAGGCUGACCACGCAGAACGCAGGUCGUCUACAUACGUCGCGCUCCUGUUAUCUGUGCGCAUGUGCUGGUGCAGAAUUGAUAGGUUUGGUCAGUCUAUGAAUAAAAAGCCCAGUACCCCAGAGUUAUUGGCUGCUACCAGCUGAUUCAGACGUGUCACAUCCAAGUUGCUCCUGAUACAAGACAUGCGAGUCACUCCAAAAAUUUAAAACUUUUUAAGAUUCUCCGUCACAUCGAAUUUUACGGUACAUGUAUGAGACACUAAAUAGAGACGAAAAUAAAAACUAAUUGCACAGUAUACCUGUAAAUCGCAAGAUGAAUCUUUUAAGCCUAAUUACUCUAUGAUUGAACAAUGUUUGUCAAAUAAACACGAAAAUGCUAUAGUUCCGAAAACAAAAAUGUUUUCAGAACUAAGGUUAACUGCGUGCCCUAACCCUUUUGAAUUAAAGUGACAGAUGAAUAAUUGAUCUUUAACGGUCCAUGGACUACUCAACAUCAUCCAUACCAUGCAAGCGUUUUACCAAACAGGACCUACUACGUAACGUUUGCACUGAAUCAGUCACAAAAGGACGCCACACAGCGUAUAGUAGGUCCUGUGUGCAUGGCGCGCGGUGAACAUUCCAGUGGGCUUCUUCUUGCUCCGAUCCCUGUGACACACACACCUGCUGGUUCUUCUACAUAAACACUAGCAGGGGCUCGAUCGCCUCCGGUGAUACACGAACAGAACAAAUUGAGUACGUACCUUGCAGUGCAAAGCCAGCAGUCACACCUUCGCCAUUGGCGACGCAGGCUCGCCUCCGGUAAUAACAUAUGUCGCCAUCGCUGCUGCUGCUGCUGCUGCUCGUUGCAGCGACGGCGGCGUCUGCCACCGCGGAUAACAGCAGUAGCGUGUCCGCGAUGGCAGGCUGCCAGCGGAGCUGCGGAGGCGUUGACAUACCCUACCCGUUCGGCAUGGGCGACGACGCCUGCUUCCGCCAAGGCUUCGAGAUCCGCUGCAUGAACAACGGCAGCGCCGCCACCGGCGGUGAAAUUCCGGUGCUAGCGGGGACCAACCAGACGAUCCCAGUGCUGAACCUGACCGUGGCGCCGCCUGAGGUCCGCGUGCUCCUGCCGGUGGCAUGGCAGUGCUUCGACUCCGCCGGCAAUAGAACAGGGUUCUACACCGGCAACGUCAACUUCAACGACGCCGGCGUGUACCGCAUCUCCAACGUCUCCAACGAGCUCUACGUGCUCGGCUGCAACACCUUGAUCUAUGUCAAGGGCGGCAAGAACCUGCGCGGCGCUAGCCGAUUCAACUACAAGUUCUACGCCGGCUGCGUGUCUGUGACCAACGACCCUGACGACCCGCAGGACGGUGCCUGCGCGGGCCUCGGCUGCUGCCGCGUCGACAUCCCGCCGGGGCUCACGGACACCUCCAUGACCAUGUACGGUGGCACCGGCGACUGGUCGCACGCCCAGCAGGAGUUCUGCCCCUGCGACUAUGCCUUCGUCGUGGAGAAGGGCAACUACAGCUUCAAGGCAUCCGACCUGACGGCACACGCGCCGGCGACGAGUAACCAGACCCCGACCCAGACCACGGCGCCGCCGCUGCAGGUGGACUGGAGCAUGCCGCUCCGCCUCGACUGGGCCAUCCGCGUCCGCGACAAUAAUGGCAGCUCCAUCACCUGCGCUCAGGCAGCAAGCAAGCCAGGGUACGCCUGUGUGAGCAACCACAGCGAGUGCGUCAACUCAACCAACGGCCCUGGCUACUUCUGCAACUGUACCAAAGGCUACGAGGGUAACCCCUACGUUGACGGUGAAGCUCGUGGAGGAUGCACUAGUAAGUAGCAGUGACCUAGCUAGCUUGUAACAAUUUUACAUAUGAUGAUCGUCUGACUAAUUUUUUUUAUUAAGGUCCCCAAAAUUGACUUUUCUCUAUACUAAGUAUACUUAUCAUUCUCGAACCGAGAGAGUACAUUAUUACAAUUCCAAAGCAAACUGCUACUCAAGAGGUUCUUAUUUGAAAACUUAAUGUUCUUAUUUGAACAAUUCUGUAGCAAAUACUACAAAAAACUUCUAUUCUACAUGCAAAUCUAGUCAUGCAUAAUGCAUAUUCACUGAUUAUAUAUAUAUGCAGAUAUCAAUGAAUGCCAAAAGCCAGAGUUGAAUUCUUGUCCAAGUGGAAGCAAAUGCAUUGACACAGAUGGUAGCUACAACUGUCCAUGCAAAUUUGGUCGGACAGGAAAGGAUUGUCAUCCCAUAUUUCCGGCCCCUGCUGCUGCAAUAUUAGGUGAGCAGACAAAUCGCUCAUACUACCAUGAUUGAAUUUUCUAAGUACACCUCCAUCCCACAAUAAAUUAACUUCUAGAGGUCAUCCGAAGUCGUACUAUAUCUUAUGUUUGACCAAUUUUAUAGAAACUAUGAUGAAUUUAUAUUCCAGCAUGUAUCUAAAUUUUAUGCCAUAAAUAUAUAUGUCCAUAUCAAAUUUGGUCUUACUUUUCGAUUCUGUGAUAUAGUCAAUCAUAGAAAUAAUUCAUUUGUUUUGGGACGGAGGGAGAGUGGUAUAUCAUACAUAUUCUUUUCCACAAGGUGUAAAAACUGUCUGUAAUCUAACAAAUUCCUUCUAAAAAUACUGUAAGGUUCACAGUCGGAAACUGUAGUAGAUUUUUCUUGUUUGCGAAACAGGCAUGAAAAGUUUUGUAUAUAUACUAACAAAAUUGUAAAAGGGUGUUGCCUUAUUGUGCAAUUUACACACGAAAAUCAUAGAUGCAUGGCAUGCAUUAGCAUGCAAACUGUAAUUAAUAUAUGGCAGUAGGAACCUAUAACGUCGCAUAGAACUAUAUAUGGCCAUUGAAUGUGUGGAUGCACGCUGUGGUUGCAGCAACACUUGUCGCAAGCUCUUUUCUGGCACUCCUGCUGUGGUCCAUAUACAAGGAUAGGAAGCGGCGAAUGAAGAAAGCAUGCUUCGACAACAACGGGGGUAAAAUACUGAAGGAAGCAGCUGGCAUUGUCAUAUUCGAAGAAGCCCAGCUGAAGAAAAUAACUAACAACUACAGUACCCCCAUCGGAAAAGGUGCUUUCGGCACCGUCUUCUUGGGAACAACCCACGACAAGCAGCGAGUUGCAGUUAAACGCUCUCAUGUCGACCACAACAAAGGAGGUCUAGUAGGUCCCGUUCAGCAAGGUGACGAUUUUGUGCGUGAGAUCACCUUCCAGUUCCAAAUCAGACACCGAAAUUUGGUUCGCCUGGUUGGGUGCUGCUUAGAGACAAACAUUCCUGUCCUGGUCUACGAGUAUAUUGGUAAUGGGAGCCUCUUCAACCUGCUUCAUGUCGGCACAGAUAAGGUGCUCCCACUGUGGACUCGACUCAACAUUGCCAUUGGCUCUGCAGAAGCUCUUGAUCAUAUGCACUCACACGGUGACCAGGACCGCAUCCACGGUGAUGUCAAAUCUGCCAACAUCCUUCUGGAUGACAAUCUCAUGCCCAAAGUCUCCGACUUUGGAUCGUCCAAGCUUUUGUCAGUCGGUAAGUAUGCCAGGGCCGUACCCGCUGAUACAAGAUAUAUGGACCCAGUGUAUAUGAAGACAAAUCGUUUUGUGGCCAAGAGUGAUGUCUAUAGCUUUUCAAUUGUUCUUCUUGAGUUGAUCACCCGGAAGACCGUCGACUACGGGCAAGAUAAAAUCAAUAGCCUCCCCAUUGUUUUUGACAAGUUUUUUAAGCAGAAGGGUAACGGAAGGGAGAUGUAUGACAGAAACAUUUUAUCUCAUGAUGGUGUUCAAUGUCAAUAUUGCAUAGAGUGCCUUGACAAGAUUGGUGCUCUGGCAAUCCAAUGUCUUAAGUAUGAUGUCGACGAGAGACCGACAAUGAAAGAGGUCGUGAAUGAAUUAACCAAAGCAGCCAAACUACUGGAUAAAUGCAAGCAGAUACCAUGACGAAGAAAGCCAUCCUGCAAGCAUGCUUGGUCAGAUCAUAUUCGCUAAUUUAUAGGGCUAGCUAUAUGGCUUUUCAAGGAGUUGUACUGUAUAUUUUUAUUUUCUGUAGAGAUGGGUGCGAUAAUGUGUCUGUUAUACUUUGUUGUAUUGUACAAUUCUGCAUAUUUAGAAAGACAUUGUAAGUUUGAUAUGUGAACUAUACAAUUCUAUAUAUAUAUGAACUACUAAACUGGGUACCAGACGCCAUCUGGCUGUUGAAACAAGAUAGAUUUGGUCCUCUCACAUGUUUCUAAGUUGUCUACUUCCUACUGUCAGUAAAGUUCUAGUUUAAUAUCUGAAGGUUCAAACCUAAUUUGUUUUACAAAAAAAAUAUGAACCUACUACAUUUUUUAUACAAAAUGUUUUAUCUCUAUUUGUGAUAUAUUUACAGUUAUUUGGAACUUAUUAGUUUUGUUCCUAUUGCUCAAUUGCUUAUAGUAAUGCUCGUUGUUUACUUUAACAAAUAUUCCCUCGGUCUCAAUAUAUAAGGUGUAACCAUUUUUUGUUUAUGUCACAUAAUAUAAGGUGUGCUCUGUUGGAAAAACUACCCUGCAAUCGAAGGACCUAUCGGCAAGAUUAACCCUUAGAGCACUUCUCUUGUGUUAAGUGCAGGCGAAGUCUUCGCACUGAGGGAGUCUUCGCGUCAAGGAUGGCGGCGAAGGAGCCUUUGCACCACGAAGCACGAAGAGGAGGUGGCGAAACAGCCGAUAGGAGUCUUCGCGCCAAGGAUGGCCACGAAGAAGCCUUCGGGUCGAGGAUAACGACGACAUCGAAGGUGGCGAAACAACCGACAGGAGUCUUCGCGCCAAGGAUGGCCGUGAAGAAGCCUUCACAUCGAGGAUGACGGCAACAUCGGAGAAACAACCGAUAGAGUCUUCGCAAAGAAGCCUCUGCGUCAUGGAUGGCGGCGAAACAGCCGACAGCGGCCUUCACACCAAGGCAAAGGAGCCUUUGCGGGAGGAGUGAUGUCGACACCAGUGAGACAGCUGAUGUAGACCUUCGCUCCAUGGACGGCAUGAGAAAAGCCUCUACGAAGACCGACGCCCUACGAAGACUACACUUGGAUUGUAAGUCAGACCUCUUAAUAGGCCGAGAUGUUAGAAUUGGCAGGGACCCAUUAGCCAAAGAGGCUGUAGAAGUAAAAGACCUAAGUGCUCCCGAGAGUAUAUGUAGGGGAGUAGAAUAUUCCUGCUUAUGCCAUGGCUGUCGCAGGGGCAUUUAUGUACUGUAAACAUACUGUAACCGUACGCUAUAAAAGGAGAGCUCAGCUCCGAGGAGGGAGAGAGGAUUUUUGGGUGACCUGAAACCCUAACUGUUGUUUUCAACAAACGUGCGAAACAUAUCUCGAUACCCGAAUCUUUGCGAGUUGAAAGCCCUCGCCCUCGAGCGAAGCCUCUGAACCUUAGGGGCUAUGCCACAACAAGCUUGCCCUUCGUCUCCACUCUCUAUCGGGAACCUGGUGACCCAACAUUAGCGCCCACCGUGUGAUGGCCAGCAAAAACCCACGAUGGCAGGAAAGAGAAGUGCCUCCGCAAGAGCAUUAGCAGGCUCCGCACCAAGGGGAAGACCAAGGCGUAACACUCGUAGCACGUAUGCUUCAACACCAAAUGAUGAAGCGAAGGAUGAUCAAACAUUACAAGACCAACCUCCGCCAGUAGAAGAACAACCACAGCCACAAUCUGUGGCAGCUCAAGAGCUUUAGCAACUUUAGGCCCAGCUUCAAAGCAUGCAGCAGGAAAGAGAUAGAGUUGUAGUAGCUUUCGUGGCCCACCGUCGAGCAGCUCAAGCCUCAACUCAAGCAGCAGAGAUCAGGCAACAACUUGCAGUCUUACAGGCGGAAAUACAGAGCAUGCAGCCCUCGCUACAACCUUCUGCUACCCUCAGCAGUGGACAUCCAGCAGAUUUAAACAACACCAAUCCAAGAAUCAUAGACCUCAAGUCCCCGUUGGCAGAAGGCAUACAAGCGUCGCCUUAGCCAGCUUCCUAUAAGCCAAUUACACUUCCCAAGUUCAAUGGCAAGAUAGACCUGCAUCAAUUUCUAAUGAGUUUUGAAGCAGCAGUAGCCUCAGCAGGCGGAAAUGACUCAGCUUUGGCCAAAUCCUUCAUUAUCGCUGCCGAAGGAGAUGCAUUGGCUUGGUAUUCAAUGCUCAAGCCAAGCAUCGUGUACUCUUGGGAAAACUUCCGUGAUAAUAUCUUAGCAAACUUCAAGGGUUUUGCCACUGAAUCCCUAACCUCUACAGACUUAUUUUAGUGCAAGCAGAACCAGGAUUCGCUGUCGGAUCACCACGGGAUCUGCCGUGCCGGAGCUAGAUCUACCGCCACGUUGAAGGUGGGGAUCGAGCUCCACACGCCGUCGGUGCCGGUAACUGCGUCGUUGGAUCUAAGGCCAUUGAGGGUGAGAGGGGGGGAGGGGUACCACUGCUAGAGGAGGGGGCGCAUGGCCUCGUCGGAGGAGGGGAAGGGGGCCAUGCAGCCGUAUCGGAGGAGGAGGGCCACACACGCCACACCGGAGCGUCAGAGGAGGAGGAUGUGACCGCGCGGCCACGCCAGAGGAGAAUGAGGCUGCCACACUGUUCGAUAGAGAGGGAAGCAUGUCCCGUGCCGCUCGCUUGGUUAGUGUUGACACUUGCUAACGCCACUUGAAUACUAGGUUGUCAUCCCAAGCAUGGCACUAGAGUGUACUAUGGUAUUUAUACGCACACAGAUAAUCCGCAAGCGCACGGAUACGGUUGAAGCUUUUACCCGGUUAAAGGUUUUAUCGUAUCCACAGGGAAACGGGAGAACCAACUACGCUCUAACUUAACCAAGAUAGAUAGAUAGGUGUGAAUAGGAAAUAUGGUAGAAUUGAAUAAGAACAAUAUUAAAGGUAAGAUAAUAAUGAGUGAUAAUAUGGUUAUAGAGAGUAGAGCAAUUCUAGUAUAUGGGCGAUGGUAGCAGAAUAGAGAGGAUAACUAUGGUUUCUCUACUUCAAAGGGGUAUGUCUAUGUCUGGGACGAACCACGUGAUAAGAGUACACCACAAAGGAUGCUUAUCCUUAGGCCGAUAAACCCUACCCAUCCUGCUAACGAGAGGUGGACAACAGAGGACCAACGUAACUGUCACCUACGCGGCCUACCACACGAUCUAGCUAAACAGGGGAUAUCCACAAGUAAUCUAGAUCUAAGCACCUCGCUUACACCUAUACUACAACUCUAACCUAUAGCGUCCUAUAGAUUAAAGUACUCAAAAGAGUUGUGAACCAGAACGUACAUAAUUAGUAAGUGCAUAAUGAAUUAGAAGUAGAUUACCAGAGUCAUCCCAUGAGCAAGCUUGAUUAGAGCUUGAUCAUGACGAAGUACAACCGGAGGAAGAACCGACAGGCUGGCCUCUCCUCUAAUCCUCCUUCGCUCUCCAUCUCGCUACUAUCUAGAUCUACUCUAGUUUAGAGAAGAGAGGAGAGCUCUUAUCUCUAAACCCUAGCUUUUGCUCUGUAUAUGAAUAAUGAAUAAUGAUCAAGGGCUGCCUCCUCCAGGGGCCAGGGGGUCUGGUUAUAUAGUCCCCUCAAGUGAACCUGGGCCGUCGGAUCAAACCGACAUUGAUUGAACGGUUAUUCUUGAUCCUUUAGGUCGGUGGAGAUCUCCCGAGAGAAAGAGUCCUGAUUGGGCUCCAAGUCAGGGCGGGCGCCCAGGGCAGGAGGGCGGGCGCCCUGCCUCUGGCCCUGUUUGGUCUCCGCGUGCUUCCCGUGGCUUCUGGAGUCUUCUAGAUGUAAGAUAAUUGCGCGGCACGUUAAUAUCUCUAUGUAAUCCCGAUAUGUGGGCAUUUCUUCCGUAUUUCCUGAUAACCCCCUGCAGAAAUAGACAAAUACCAAAACUCGUGGAAUUCUGUCAGAUAAAACCCUAAGUCUAGAUGUUGAUUUUAUUUGGAUCCUUUUCUUUGUUUAUUUGAUAAUUAAAUUUGAUACUUAAGGACCGUCAACAGUUAGUCUGGAGGGAGGCGCAGCUCCCCAUUGCCCGCUCUGCUCGCUCGGUGGCAAGAGAGACGGAGGGAGCGAGGUGGCUCAACAGCUGGAAUGGGAAACCCUAGUUUAUGUCUUUAUACUAGGUCGCACUUAACGGGCCUUGUCUAGGCCUCUAGGGCGCAGCCUUUUCUUCGUGAGGCGAGCUAUUUUUGGAAGUCUACCUGUGAAAAUUUUGGCACUUUUGGAGACAGGCCUCUUUUUCGCACAUAAUCCAUCGGGUGCUAGAAGCUAUGCCGUUGGCCGGUAGCAGUGACGCGGUAGUGUUGUUGGCCAGUGCGACACGGUUGGUGAUCCAGACGAUGGUCAGUGGGGAGAUGCCGAGGUACUAGCAAGACGGCUGCUUGGCGUCCGGUGCGAAGAAGCUCGCCUCUUGCCCUCGCGAUACCCCCGCCAAUGCACCCGACUGUGGUCUUCUCCUCGACAAUCUCCCACUGGAUAGUCUCCACGGCGCGCGUGAACAUGCCAGCAGCGCCCUAGAGGCCGUUGAACACAGGCGGUGGUGCCAGCAGUGCGCUGAAUAUGUGGUGGUGUUGACACCCUGAAGGGCCCUGGUGGAUAAUAAACUUACAGAAUGGCUAAGUCUAGUGGCAAAGAUUUCCCAUAUCGAAUUGGUCGAUGGUCCAGAUCAUUUCAGAUGGAGUUUAACCAGAUCAGGGUUAUUCUCUGUCCGUUCCUUAUAUCUAAAUAUUAUAGAUACACAUACACCCUUUCGGCAUAGGAAUAUCUGGAAGAUAAAGGUACCUCUAGAAAUUAAAAUUUUUCUCUGGUUCCUGCAAAGGGGUGUCGUCCUAACCAAAGACAACCUUGCUAGGAAAAAUUGGAAAGGGUGUCAGAAGUGCAUUUGCUGUAACGGGAAUGAAACUAUUCAACAUUUAUUCCUUGACUGCCCCUUUACCAAAAUGAUCUGGAGGCUUAUCUUCUUUGCUACUAGUUUGUCCCAACCUAGAUCUAUCAGCCACAUGUUUGGUACUUGGCUAUCUAAUCAUAAUCAAAAUAAAGAGAUUAGAGAUCUAAUUUGGGUGGGGGUGGCUGCUUUGCUUUGGGCUAUCUGGAGAUACCGCAAUGAUUAUGUUUUUAAUAAAAUGAAAACUAACUCUAUUAUGCAGGUAAUUUUCAGGGGAGCGUACUGGUUACGCUUUUGGGCUCAGCUGCAGCAUGAUGAGACAGCCAAGGACGUGCUCUCGAAGAUAAGCAAGAAAUUAGAAGUAAUUGCUUUAGAGAUAUCCAAUAAAGGAUGGAAACAUUUAUAUUGUUUAAACUAGCACCCCGGUCCUUGUUUAGAGCUUUGGCUCUCCUUGUUUAUCUCCUUUUAAACUCUGUAAUGUUGGGCUGUGUACAUCCCGGAUGUAGAAGCCGGAUUUUAUAUCCAUUAUCAAAAAAAAAAAAAAUGUGAGGAGAACCAAAACAGCACUCCUCCCCCUUGCUUCAUUCCCACCACUGUGAAUUUCAAGAUGAAGUAGCCUCGGCCCUUAGUGUUCCUGUACCCGUGCAUAUCGAACAUGCGGACUUGUUCGGCAGCGCCUCGCGCAGGACGCAGAGGAUGGGCUCGAACUGGUUCAAUCAUCUUAAUGUUGUAGACUAUCUGGAAGGCAAGGAAUGAACUCAUAUUUAAUAAUGUUAAAAUUGGCAUUGAGGAUUGUAAAGCUCGCUUCUUUCACUCUUUCAGGAAAUCAGGCUAGCUAGCCUCCCUAAGGAGAGAACUCCAGUAGCAAAACUGUGCCCAUCCUGGAAACCAGAAAAAAGAAGAAACACGAUCCCAUGGCAGCAAAUAUCUCACAGGUGUCGAAAAUGGAUAAUUAUUAAUUCGAAGUUCUGCAUCUUAAGAUUUUGAUAGUGAACACAGACAGAAACCACUUGAAUGCAAAUCUUCCCGUUAAUACAGGGGUUUUGAAAGGCAGUAAGGCACGCAGAUGCAUAUGUCUACGUACUUUAUUACUCGACUCGAAAUAGAGUUGUUACGAACUCUGUAUAUGUUGUAGCCCCACACCAGGACUUAACACACCUGAGUUAAUAAGUAAAAUGAAACACUGAACUCACAAGCCGAUGCGAAUUUCUCCAGGAUGCUCUGGAUGGUCACUUCACUGAUGGAUUACUAAUAAAUAAAACUAGAGUGUAUCGGCUCCUCCACUUGUGUUUCAGACACCGAGGCUGCGUAGUGCAGAGACCACCUCCUCGUUGGCCUCAUCGGCCUCUUGUUUGUCGCAUAUAUAGGGAGGCUGCCGCCGAGAUCUCCUCGUCGGUUAUCUCAUUCUCCUCUUCCCCGCCAGAUAGAUAAUUAGCUGCUGAGACUGUUGGGAACUCAGUACCGCCUUCCCCUGCCUGGUCGCUUCGGAGGAUCCACCCUGACUUGAACCUCUGGCCCGAGAUCCUUCGAGCAUUAUGGUGCGGAGGUUCUGGAGAAACUGGCCUUGUUUAGUUCCCAAAAACUACAAAAAAUUUUCAAGAUUCUUCGUCACAUCGAAUCUUACGACAAAUGCAUGAAGCAUUAAAUAUGGAUAAAAAUAAAAACUAAUUACACAGUUUACCUGUAAAUCGCGAGAAGAAUCUUUUGACCCUAGUUAGUCUAUGAUUAGACAAUAUUUGCCACAAACAAACGAAAAUGCUACAGUACCCGAAGCCAAAAUUUUUUGCAAACUGAACAAGGCCUAACAGUAACGCGUCUUGUAUGGUGUUGGGUGAGUGCAGGAGCUAAGCCAGAGGCAGAGGUCACAAGGAACGUGGGAGAGGACCUUCAGAUCUCCCCACGAUGAAGGAUGGACGAAGGCACAUCGGAGGAUGCAAACCCCUCCAGUUUACCUAAAAAGAAGUGUGAGUCGUCAGACUUCCUGCUCGCUCAGCUUCCCAUUGUUUGGCUCACGCUGGCCAUUCCGGGGGCAUCCCCACUGUCGCCCAUGGUCUCCUCGACGGGCUCUAAACCUCGGUGAGUGAAGCCACUGAAGCGUGUUCAGUUGGAUAGUUUAAUUAAAUAGACUAAUAUGAAUUACAGGUUUUUUUUUGGGUCGAACUAUAAACAACUGGACUUGUUUUCUGAUCUGUUCAGCUUGGCUUUUUUUUUCCUUGUUUCAGUUUGGUUUGUUGUUGAUGUUGCGCUGAAGGAAAAAAAACGACAUGCUAGCGGGAGCAGCUGCAACAGCUUUGAGGGGAGCAGCUGGAACAGACUCAUAAAACUUAAUCUUUCUUUUACUUGAAAUUUCUUCUGUUCCUUGUUUCAGUUUGAUACGUUGUUGCAUUGAACAAAAUAAAAAGUGACACGGAGAAUGAUUGAUUGACCAAUAAAGCUCGUGAGCAUGGACAUGGUCACCGGUGCUUUGGGCAUGCUCCCCUCCGAGCUGCUAUAGAUACUGUAAUAUUUAUAUUUUAUUUGGCAAUUAGAGUAACUCCAAGAGAAAAGUUAUCCAUGUUGUGUAAUCUAUAUUUGACUAAUUUGGAAAAAAAGAGAGUCCAACAACUAUUAUAAUUGGUUUUCUAAAAUAGCAAGUCAUGUAUCCUGGAAAUUUUCGCAUACUAGAUAUAACUUGCAUGUGCCGCUAGCCAUUCACUUCAUCCUAUUAGAAAGACUGUUAGAGUUUUGUAUUUUUUUUUCUCGAGUUUCUACUUUAAAGAUGAGCUAAAUCAUGAGUUUAGCCAUCUAUUUUUACCAACUCCGUUGGAGAUGCUCUUAGUGUCCAAUCAUGGACUAAUUAGGCUUAAAAGAUUCGUCUAGCAAAAUAAUCUCUAGCUGUAUUUUUAGUUUCAUAAAUUGUCUAUAUUUAGUACUCCAUGCAUGUGUCCAAAUAUUCAGGAGCAAAACGGGUGACUUUAUCAAUCUGGAGAUUUGCUGGUCCAACUCGGUUCUCCCGAGGUACUCAUAGAGGUAGAGUAUACAUAUGUGUUUUUAGAAGUAAAUGUAUGUUCAUAUAUGUGAGCAUUUAUGUCUAUAUAUAAUUGGGUCCAGCAAAAAAAAAGGCUAACCAAACCGGCCUUGUUUAGUUCACCCCGAAAUUGAAAAACUUUUCAAGAUUCUCUGUCACACAUCUUGUGGCAUAUGUAUGAAGCAUUAAAUAUAAAACAAAACAAAAACUAAUUGCACAGUUUAUCUGUAAUUUACGAGAUAAAGGCACUCCAUCUGCGGAGGACAAUAUAAUGGAGGCACAGAGGCAUCAGUGGUGAUGGCGCCGUGGUCCCACUAGACCUUGACCCUUGGGGCAGCUGAGUCAAGUCGUCGGCACUGGUAGAUAUGCAGUCACUAUCAUGGCAGUGACAUGGCGAGACGACGCCGCAGGCCUCUGCAUCAAUUACGGGAAGCUUCAAUUAAUGGAUGCCAAUAAGAGAGCAUGCUGAUAGGAUAAUAAGAGACUGUAUGCUCUUGGUCUCAGCCACACAUCAACGCAAUUCCUCUGGAUCGCUCUUGGUCUCAACUGUGGUGAGUUGAAGCAUUUUUCAUCGUUUGGAAGAAUACUUACCGUUUUGAGUUGAAACAGAAACAUCUUACUUAGCUUGGAACACAUCUCAGGUUCAAGUCUUUUUUAUCUGGGUCGCUCUUAUCCUGGCCAUACUGCAAAACACGCUCGUCGUGCUCUGUAUUUUUAGCCGGCCGUCGAUGCAACUCCUCUGCAGCUCCUCCGACGUACGGCCACCAUGGUGAGUUGAAACAUUUUUCAUUUGGAAAACAUUCCUACCAGUCCUACCGCGUAUGUUUCUACAUGGGCCUGAAACAGGAACACCAUACACAUGGCUUUGAUCAAGUUUUAUUAAUUAUGUUCAAAACUUUGUUGUUGCACUAUAAACAUUUGGCCCUGUUCUUUCUUUUCAGAUCGGUCCAACUCAAAAGCUCGAUCUGUUUCAGAUUGGUCUGUAAUUCCACUGAAGAGAUAGACACGGCCUGCUUGGUGAGUUGAAGCAUUUUUCAUCAUUUUGAAAAAAAUUCUUUCCUCUGUAUAUGUUUAAUUUGAGUUGAAACACAAACAUCUUACUAAUAAGCUUUGACCAGAUUUUAAGUUCAAGUCUUCAUUAUCCGGGCCGCGAUUAUCUUAGCCGACCAUCUGUACUGCAAAACACGCUGGUCGUGCUCUGUUUCUUAGCUGACCAUCGAUGCAACUCGUCUGCAGCUCCUCCCACGGCCACCUUGGUGAGUUUGAAUCAUAUUCUUUUAAACACUCCUACGUAUGUUGAGCAGGAACAGGGACAUCUUACUUAGCUUUGGACAAAUAAUUUAUAAUAAGGUUCAAGUCUUGAUCGUCGAACUAAUCCUUAGGUCUUGUUUAGUUUAACUCAAAAACCAAAAAGUUUUCAAGAUUUCCCAUCAUAUCGAAUCUUGUGGCACAUGCAUGAAGCAUUAAAUAUAGACGAAAACAAAAACUAAUUACAUAGUUUGCCUGUAAAAUUGUGAGAUGAAUCUUUUAAGCCUAGUUAGUUCAUGAUUGAACAAUAAUUACCAAAUAAAAACGAAAGUGUUACAGUACCCAAAACCAACAAAUUUUCGGAACUAAACAAAGCCUGUCUUUUUUUUUUCAGUCCAACUUGACAGUUCUUUUAAUUGUUUCAGUUUGAUCUGUUCUUACACUGAAGAAAAAGCAAAACAAGUGAGGACAUACCAACUGGAACACACUACAACUUUGCAGGCUAUCAGAUUACCAGCACAGUGAUUGGUUAAUCAUCUUGUCAGCCCGUGAGCAUGGACCUUGUCACCGGUGCUUUGGGCAUGCUCCCCUCCAAGCUGCUGGAGCUUCUCAAGGAUGAGUACAAGCUGCAGAAGGGCGUCAAGGUGAAAGUCCAGUCCCUCUCCCGGGAGCUCGAGUGCAUGCACGCCGCCCUCCGCAAGGUGGCGGCAGUGCCAUGGGACCAGCUCGACGAGCAGGUCAAGAUCUGGGCACGCGAGGUUAGGGAGGCUUCCUAUGAUAUUGAAGAUAUACUUGACACCUUCCUUGUGCGUGUCGAUGGCCAUGAGCAGGCUGAUCUGAGCAGACUCAAACGAGCCAUGAAGAAGAUGGGAGACUUGUUCAGCAAGGGCAAGGCUCGUCGUGAAAUUUCGUGUGCCAUCGAAGACAUCACCAAGCAACUUCAGGAGAUGACAGAGCGGCAUGCCAGGUACAGGGUCGAUGAUCUUGUUGCCAAGCAUGCUGCCACAACAAGUAUUGAUCCACGGCUUUCGGCUCUGUACACAAAAGUGUCACAGCUUGUUGGGAUUGAAGGGCCAAUGGAUAAGGUCAUAAAAAUGCUGACAUCAGUAGCAGAAGACAUGGAGACGAAGAUAGUAUCUAUUGUUGGGUUUGGAGGGUUAGGCAAGACUACUCUUGCUAGAGCUGUGUAUCAGAAUCUUAGUCAGGAUGUCUGUUUCAAAGCUUUUGUUCCAGUUGGUCGGAAUCCAGACUUAAAAACAGUCUUAAAAGACAUUCUCAUUGAUUUGGACAAGCAACGUUACACCACCGAAUUCAAUUUGACAAUAUUGAAAGAAAAGCAACUAAUCGAUGAACUUCAGGAAUUCCUAAAGGACAAGAGGUACUCAUUAUUAUCAUAUUCCCUCCGUCUCAAAAAGACCAUUGUUGUUGACUUUUAUACAUCUUGUUUAACCAUCCAUGUUAUUACAUCUUUUUUAUAAAUAUCGUCUGUUUUGAUAUGACUUAUUUGAUCAUUAGAGAUACUUUAAUAAUGAUUUAUCUAUUUUAGAAUUUGCACAAAAAUUUUGAAUAAGACGAGCGGUCAAAUAUGAUUGGUCAAAGUAAAAAACAUCGGUCUUUUUGAGAUGAAGAGAGUACUAUUCAGCCUUUUAAUUAAGUUACCAAACUGGUACAAUCAGUUGAGAAAUCUACAAUAUUUAUAUUAAUAGUCUAUUACGAAAUCUAAUGUUUCAGUGUUCAUUUAGUGUUGUUAUCUAGUCGCUAGUAAAGUGUUUUCCAACGAUAUUCCUCUUCAACUCAAUGUAUUACUGUUUGUGUCAGCUUGAAGACUUGAAUGAGCUCUUGUCCAUUUUCAUGCAACUACAUGACACCUUUGUUUCUGUGCGUAUAGGUAUUUCAUUGUUAUUGAUGACAUAUGGGAUGUACCUUCAUGGAACAUUAUAAGAUGUGCUCUAGACAGCAACAGCUUGGGAAGCAAAAUAGUCAUAACUACAAGGAAGCAUGAUGUUGCUGAGAAAGUUGGUUGUUCUUAUAACAUGGAACCCCUUGGGCAUGAGAGUUCCAAAGAUUUAUUCUAUGGAAGAUUAUUUGGCUCUGAAGACGAGUGUCCCAAACAAUUUGUAGAUGUUUCUGAAAAAAUAAUUAAGAAAUGUGGAGGUGUGCCAUUAGCUAUCAUUACCACAUCAGGUUUGCUAGCGAAUAAGAUGGGAAAUGUAAAACAGUGGAAAGAGUAUUGUGAGUCUAUUGGUUCGGGGCUUGGAAGCAAUCCUGAUAUGGAAAAUAUGAGGAAGAUAUUAUCUCUUAGCUAUUAUGAUCUACCAGCUCACUUGAAGACAUGCUUAUUAUAUCUAAGUGUAUUUCCAGAAGACUAUGAGAUUGUUAAGGAUCGAUUGAUUUGGAGGUGGAUAGCGGAAGACUUUGUCCCACCUGGAGAAGGGGGGCAAAGUUCAUUUGAGCUUGGGUUGAGUUACUUCAAUGAUCUUGUAAAUAGAAGCCUGAUCCAACCAGCAGAUAUGGAUGACGAAGGUACGCCUAUUUCUUGCCGUGUGCAUGACAUGGUGCUUGAUCUCAUUUGUAACAUAUCAAGAGAAGAAAGUUUUGUUGCAACAGUACUAGAUGAUGCCAGGCAGAACACACCUUCUUGGGGAAGCAAGGUUCACAGGAUGUCCCUGCACAAUACUACUUGGCCUACAGUAAUGGACUUGUCAAAACUAAGGUCACUUACUGUUUUUAGUGCUGCCAAAAUUAAAUUGAUGCCGUCCCUUUCAUAUCUUCAUCUUCUCCGUGUAUUGGAUCUAGAAGGUUGCAGUCUUAAGGAACUUACAAACUUGAGUUUCGUUGCACGCUUAUUUCACCUGAGGUAUCUAAGUCUAAGAAAUACUAGCUAUGCUGGUGAGCCCCCAUCGGAGAUAGGGAAGCUAAAACUUUUGCAGACAUUAGACCUAUGGGGAACUGAUAUAGAAGAAUUGCCAUCAAGUAUUAUUGGGCUAAGAAGACUGAUGUUUCUGGCUCUUAAUUGGCGUAUCUGUCUGCCAAAUGGAUUGAAGAAUCUAACAUCCUUAGAAGUGCUACAGUAUGCAAUUGUUGAUUCUGCGCAGAUUGCAGAAGAGCUAGGCCAUUUGAUGCAACUGAGGAUCCUCAGAGUCGGGCUGUGUAAAAAGGACACGGAAGCAGGAUAUUAUGAGGGCAUUUGCAAAGCUUUAGUGGAGUCCCUAGGCAAACUGCAAAAAAUCCAACAGCUAGUAGUACUAAGCCCAAGUGACGUGGUGAUGAAUCUUGAAGGCUCGCUGGAGUCCCUAGGCAACCAGCUGUCCUAUCUUCGUAUUCGGAAAACAUGGAUCAAUCCUGGAUCGCUUCUCCUCCUAUCCUCCCUGGACAUAACGGUGUCUCAGGUGCGAACGGAGGACAUCCAAGUCCUCGGGAUGCUACAGGCUCUUCGUGUUCUACGAGUGGAUGUGGCUGGUGACAACUUACAAGUGCUGGGAAGGUUCACGGUUGGCCCUGAUGCCUUCCCAUGCGUAAUGGAGUGCAAAUUCUAUGGUUUCCAAACAGUACCCUCUAUGUUCCCACGAGGAGCUAUGCCCAGGCUUGAAGAAUUCCAUUUCCGUAUGAGCCUGCAGGAUUUCUUGAAAGGUGAAUUCAGUACCGAUGACCUGGCCUUGGACCACCUCUCGUCCCUUCGGAGUGUGGAUGUUCGUCUUUUCGGUGGUGGACACGAAAAGAUGGAGCAGGAGUUGGAAAUGAAAGAGAAAGUGAAAGAGAAGCUGAGGCAAGAGGCGGAUGCCCACCCCAACCACCCUUCCUUAGCCCUCUACUAGAAAAAAAAAAAAAGAUCCUGGAUUCAACGUGUGCCUACCUAAAUGCAUGUAGGUACGUAUAUUUUCUAAUGAAUGCAUGCAUGCAUAUUUUCUACUGCAGUUAAUUAGUCCACUCAUGACUUGUUUUUCGUAUCGUAGCAGCUCCCGGGUCUGAGAGUGUUGUCUCCAAUUGGUGCAAAAUAUAUAUGCUACAACGGUCUUAAACAAGCAGCCACACGCUUUAGUUUGUUGGUGUACACACGGAGGAGCAGGGCAAGCUAGCUGUGUAAAACAUUAGCCGUAUUCUUUACCACUUAUUAUUGUCAAUCGUGUUUUCUUUUUAAUCCUUUCAAAAUAUGCUUCCAUUAUCGUUCGAAUUAUGUAAUUCUUCUUCUUUUUUUCUUUUUGUUUCUCUCGUCCUCUGGUCUCUGUGUCAUGUCUCUUAUUUAUACUUCUCGCCACCUUUCUUCUAUACCUUAUAAUAAAGAGGCAAAAUUUCAAUCUCCUUUUUUUGUCUAAAUAUUUUUUAGUCUGAUCUUCCAUAUUAUUUUUCAGUCAGGGAAUCAAGAUCUGUGCAUCCAAUCCAAAUGAAUUAAAACAAAAUCCUCUGGCCCCGUUACCGGCCUUUGAAUCCUAAUCGAUCGGCGAGGUGUCGACUACCCGAGCGGCGGCGAAGAGGCAGAAUUGAAGAUGGCAGGGGAGACAACGCGCCCUAGCCCCAUCCUCGACCCCGCGUGCUCGACGCCACGAACCCUGAGGCGCAAACUACCGCCUGCCUCUUUUUCUGCCUUAACGAACUGUCGUCUCGCCUCUGCUCGCGCUUGGCGCAGGACGCCGCCGGUCGUGCGUGAUCCACGGCUGGUCGAUCGGUUGCCGAUGCGACGAGAGCAAGUUGCGGUGCGGCCACCGAGCGCCUGAGUGUGGGGUGCUGCCUGCUCUGCUCUCUGCUAUUCUUGGUGCUUGCAAUUUGCAAAAAACGGCUACAGCCUGACAAGAUGACCAAUAUAGUAUGACCCAUACCAUGUCACAAUUCCCAUCCAGAUCGAAGACCAUCACGUGACAUGCAGCGCAUCGGCUGCCUGCGUGGCUGUGCACAAUGCUUCUCAAAAUUUCUUUUUCACAGGUUAGUCGAAUAUCUAUUUAUUUUCUCCUAAUUUACUACUGCAGGUUGAUAUAUUUUUGUUCUCGGUCUCACUAGCUUAAGAGGACCCUUUUGAUGUGGAUGUCUUUGACUAUGCAUACAUAAAGUGAAUGAUGAGUUUGUUCAUUUGUGUGUGUGUGUUUUUCAUGGAUGAAGUGAGAAUAUCUGUGCUUUAUAAAAAUCAUUAUAUAAAAAGAUUGCACAAAAUAUGCAUAUUAUUGAAUAGAAUAAUCUGACAUUCGCCCAUAGCAACGCACGGGCAUGUUUGCUAGUCAUCUACUAAAAGCAACUUGGUUCGUUAUUUGUCCAAUGAUGCCAUGUCUCAUUGGUGGAAAUUAUUCUACUUCUACAGGGUGUCUUUUUUUUUAGUAGUGCAGAAGAAUGUUAUGAAGCUUGAAACCGAAUGAUGAGAUGAUGGUGAGGUUAUAUUAUAUUCUCCUUGCUAGUUAUUGACAUGCAAAAAGAAUCAAAUCUAGCCAAAUGUGGAGCAUAUCUGCAAAAUAAAAAAAAAACAAAAAAAACGGCGCAGGCCGGGCAGUUUUGCCAAACAGGCGGCCGGUUUUUGCUGUGUUCCGGCACCGCCCGCAGAAAAUGACCCCACACCGAUUUACGCCCCCAGUUUGCUAAUAUCAUUUACUAUUCUGAGUAGAAGGAGCAACGAUAUCAUAUCCGGGUUGUGAGAUCUGCCAGGAUUGAUUAAUGUCGAUCGCAUUAAUUUAUUUACACUAACCAAUUCCCUCUAUAUAAUCGAGCACAAGCAUCAGGCGAUUUGCAUCCCAAAACACAAGAAUAGUACAGUACUUGCGAGUGUUAUUGAUACGAUGAGGGUGGUGCACUCCAUCGCUGCAGCAAUUUGCAUCCUUCUCAUGGUCAUGUCUUGCACCCUCAUGACACCCACCUGGGCAGCAGGUAAAAUCUUCAGUUGUUGAAUUGAAUUCGUUAACACGAAUGCAUUGUAAAUACGUCUGCUGAUCCAUUGAGUUUUGUUUUGGUGAUACAGAGAAAUGCUUUGAUCAGCACCCGACAUGCACACAGGCCGCGUGCGAGAAAAAAUGCAGAGACGAAUUCCGUUCCAAGCUUACCAGUUUCAGGUGCACAAACGUGCCAGGACCCAACUUGUACAUUGUUUGCUGCUGCACCCACACUUGACGCGGGGAUGACGAUUGUUAGAAAAUAGUGUGUGUAGCAAUAAUAAUUCUACAAGGAUAUGUAAUGAAUCGACUUGCUCAUGCAUGUAAGAAAAGAUUGACAACCAGCCAGAACCAGAGUUAAAGUCCGAAUCUCACUAUUGCUAGUUAGAUGCUCCAAUGGAGCCAUAGCCACUGUGUUAAUUCUCACUAGAUGCACUGAAAAAAAGGAUAAGUUUAACAUUUCUUACAAAAAUAUAAAUAUAUGUCCUUUAAUAUCAUUUAUUCCAAUCAUCAUCGAUGACAAUAUAGCCAUUAGCUUUAUUAUAAGUUACAAAAAAAAAUUACACAACUUUCAUUAUGAAAAGUGUAAGAAGUAAAGUAACCUACUAAUCUUGCAUCCAGAAACUAUAUAGAUGCUCUGACUGAGACACCAUGUUAAUUCUUAUAAAUUUUUCCAAUAAUUAGAAACAUCCUGCCAUUAAUUUGAUAUAUUCUAAUAAUCAUCCCUGAUAACAGUUAAAAGUACACACCUCCAUCAUUAUUCUUUUAGAAAGGCGGCAAGAGAUUUGCUGAAAUUUUAUUAGACAAAAAAAACGAAAAAAGAGUUGGCACCUCCAUCAUUAUGAAAAGUACAUAAAGUAAACCUAAUAGCGCAUCUAAAUUACUCACCUACCACUAUCAGAAUAAUUUAAAAUAACCACCUAAAUAUGUACACAAACUACCCACAUAUGCUACAAUGGAAAAUACUUCGAAUUAACUACUUAAAUUAUCUUAAAAAUACACAUAGUUGCUAUUAUCUAUAUCUAUAUCUAUAUCUAUAUCUAUAUUUUAUUAAGCCAUGCCAUCUUUUUCUAUUGGACCCACAAUACCUUCUUGCGCACCAACCAAAGGGGCACAAAAGUUACUGCACCAUGGGUUCCUCUACCACAACACACAUCAAUUUCUCUGCCACAAUAAUUGCAUCAAAAAGGAGUUUUUACUAUAAAUGCAUUCAUAUAAGGCCAUCCUCAGUGGUGGUUUUAUGACAUAGUUUUCAACAUAUCUAUAUUUUAGAAAUAGUGUCGAAGAGUUUUGUCCCCAUAAAACUCUCUCUACUCCCAUAAAACUAUUAUCAUCUCUCUCUUUAUUAAUACAGUACCUCAGCAUAUUUAAUAUCUAUGAAACUAUGACGAAACACCAUUGAGACUGACCUAAAAAUGAACGAUUAUUGCUAUAGUCGAGUUUAAAUAACUCCACUCUACCUCAAGCCUUGUUUAGUUCAAAACAAAAACCAAAAAAAUUUCGAGAUUUUCAGUCACAUCGAAUAUUGCGGCACAUGCACAGAGCAUUAAAUAUAGACGAAAACAAAAACUAAUUGCAUAGUUUACCUGUAAACCGCGAGAUGAAUUUUUUGAGUCUAGUUAGUUCAUGAUUGAACAAUAAUUGACAAAUAGAAAUGAAAAUGCUUCCAUACCCAAAAUCAAAAAAAAAUCAAACUAAACAAGGCCACUCGCAAGCCACCUUGCUUUGCAUGGCCAUCCCUUACCCUACUCGUUGUUAGAUGAGUUAAUAUAAUUUGAUUGGGCUACUGUAACAUCCUAAAAUUUGCAUCAUUUUAUAAAUAGGUGAAAUUGAUUUAUUUAUACAUCUUUGUGAGCAUUUAAACUUAAGAAAUAAUAUUUUUUUCUGAACCAUGAUCGGUAUUACCGAUGAUCAUAUUAAACUUGAAACCGAGUUUCUGGUGAUUUCCUUCAACACAUGAGCAAAGGGAUGAGGUUAUAUAUUCCUUGCUAGUUGUUAACGGCAAAAGAUGGUUAGAGGAGAUUACAUUCGAGUUACAGGAUCAAAUACAUGCACAAAGAAUAAAAUUUUGCUGAAUUUUGAGCAUCACGACCUCCUCCGACGUCCCCAUACGAGCUCGGCAACCGUCUUUCCAGGUAACUAUAGUUUUAUGCGUCGUUCAUAUACUUUACAUAUAUACCUAGUGCAUUGUUCAAACAUCACGGGUGUGUUAUUGCAGUCCCAGUUGGCCGAGUUACGGGCCAGGCAAGAGUCCGCGGAGGAGGCCCAUCGGCAGGAGAUAGCGCGCUAGAACGAGGCCCAUCGGCAGGAGCUGGCGCUUUGCCGAGAGCGUAGUGGCCCUUUGCCAAGCGCUCGGGCUCUCGGCAAAGUACCAGAAUCCUAUAGUGUGUGUAAAAUCUAAAAAAACAGCCAUUGCCGGUUUUGCCAAACAGGCCUAGGGGGUGGUUUUUUUGCUGUGUUGAAACCCCCCCCCCCUCCAGUUUGCUCAGACCAGUCUUAGUGAGAGUUUCAUCUUAAUUUCAUUCACAUUAAAUAGGCUGCCACAUAUGUAUUUUGCAUGGCAUGAUAGUGUAUUUUAAGAAUAGAGAGAAGAAAUAGAUUUCAUCUAGAUGAAACUCUCUUGGCACGAUUACCAACUCUCUAUGAGUCAUGAAAUUAAAUGUUUAUGAAACCAUGGAAUGAAACUCUCCAUAGAGAGUGAGUGUUUCAUCCAAGUUUCAUUUCAUUUCACAUGAUAUGGCAACCUUAGAAACAACGCUACGAAACUAUCCACUAAGACUGGCCUAAUAUUUUUUCCAUGUAUUUUAAUAUAACAUUAUAUAUAUUCCUAAUUUAUAUAUCUCCCUGGCUGAGUUAGAUAUCUGUGAGAUAUAUGCCUGCAUUAAUUAAUGUGGCAUUGUUUACACUGAAAAUUUCAGUGUAUAUAAACGGGCACAAGCAUCAGGCCAUUUGCAUCCCUGGAACACACAAGAAUAGUUGUACUUGCGAGUGCUAAUACGAUGAGGGCGGAGCCCUCCGUAGCUGCUGCCCUUUGCGUCCUUCUGAUGGUCACGUCUUGCACCCUGACGACACCCACCUGGGCAAAAGGUAUAUAUAUACACACAUAAACACGAAUGAAGGUACUCUAAUUAUUUACUUUAUCAUAUAUAAUAAUGAGAGUAAAUUCUUCCGCUGUUCAGUUGAGGUUAAUUAACAUGCAUGUACGUCUGCUGAUCCAUUGAGUUUUAUUUUGGUUGUACAGAGGAUUGCUUUCGGAUGCCAGGAUGCAUGGAAUUCCCGUGCGAGCAAAAAUGCGAAGACGAAUUCCACUUCAGGGUCACCGAUUCCAGGUGCAGGAUUCGUGGGAACGUCGAGCUUUGCUGCUGCACCCACAAUUACGUAACAGCUUGUUCCUCAGCGCUUCGUGGAAGCGCAAGCCCUUGAUGAAGGCAGAGAUGGCCUCGUCGUGGGAAAUCUUCGGGAUUUUGAGGCGCAUAUCCGAGAAUCGUCGGAUGUAAUCGCGUAGAGGUUCGUUCUUCCUGUCCCUUAUCCUUUCAAGGUCAUAUUUGUUUUCAGGCUGCUCGCAUGUGGCGAUGAAGUUGUCGAUGAAAGCCUGGCGCAGCUCUUCCCAAGAGUCGAAGGAGUCCUCGGGCAAGCCAAGAAGCCACUGAUGACCAGCCUGGUCGAGGACUACGGGGAAGUAGUUAGCCAUGACGUGCUCAUCUCCUGCGGCUGAUCGGACGGCGAUUUCGUAGAGGGUGAUCCAGUUCUCUGGAUUUUCCUUGCCGUCGUAUUUUUUAAGUUUUUCGAGCUUGAAAUUGCGGGGCCACACGACCUGGCGGAGGUGUGAGGAGAACUGUCUUAGACCCGGGGGACCGUGCGUUGCAUCGUACUCGAUGCGGCGCAGGUUUUCGUGGACUGCUCUCUCUGUGGCGCGCCUGUUGAUGCGGUCCCGGGCAUCUUUGGGAGGGAUGUUGUGGCGGAGAUCCCUGUGUUGGUUUACUUCUUGACCGCGUACGCGGUUCUGCUCGCGGCGACCGUCGGCGUCCCGACCACCAUCGUCACGCCGUGAGUCCUUUCGACGGUUGUCGGGAGAGCGGCUGCGGUGACGCCUGCUGGGAGACGGUGAGGCCCGGCUACGAUUAGUCUGGUCGGAGGCGGCUUCCGUAUAAAAGACGUCCUGGACUCUCUUGAGCAGAGUGGUUGUCUGUCCCAUUGCAGCGAUCAGGUGUGCUCGGAUGCUGGUCCGGACUCCCUGGCACUCGGGGGUAUCAGGAAGCCGAUCUAGGUUAGCCAUGGCGACGGCCACGUUGGCGCUUGGCGUUUUGUAGACUGGCUGGUCCCCGACCAUGUCAAAGGCAUCGUUGAGAUUAUUUGGUGGCAUUUGUUGUUGCUCGUCUGCGCGUCGUCGGGCGCGAUCGGCGUUGCGUUGUUCGCGGAGUUGCCUCUGCUCAUCUGUUUCUCCAUCAACGACCGGUUCGUCGGCGCUGACAUUAAACACAAUAUCUCCUCGUCGGGGGGAGAAAUAUCGGGAAACGGGGGAAACCCGGAGGGUGUGAAGGAAAAUCCAGGUCGUAGUCCUCGUCUUCGGUGUUUAUAACCUCGGUGGGGACGGAACCGGUACUUGAAUUGGUGCUGGAAACCUGGCCGUCUCGUAGUUCUCGGAUCGUCACCAUGUUGACGUAGUGACGAUCGUUCCUUUUCGGCGACCAACACGCCUUGCUGAAAACGGAUUGGGUGUGCUGUGAGUAAACAGAGGCCGAGUUGUUCAGGCCGCAAGGAUAAUCUUCCUUCUUGAGCUUGACGGAUCGUCCUGAGGGUGUUGAGGUUAUCGUCAGAGACGUUCCCAGCCGUUCGUGUGUGGCGACACGAGUUGGCCGGCGGGAUUUGAAAAAAUCCGCUGGAGCAGCUUGGUCGGGCCGACGCAGAACUCCGUCUACUAGUUGGGAAACUUCGAGUAGCUUGGAGUCAGCGCGAUCAAGCGCUUGGAGAAGGUCCGAGCAGUCGAUCUUCUUUCCCUUGUAGAGCGGGAACGGUGGUCGGGCGCUUGGUGCCGUCACGCGUGUGGUCGGAGACGGCGUGAUCUCAGAUUGGAUCUGGAUCUCUUUCGAAACCGUGGUCGUGAGGCCGCCGCUGCACGUCGUCCACGUGAUCUGGCCGACGGUGAACGUGAGGCCUUCAGGCACGGUCGCGGAAGCUGGGAUCGUGACCAUCUUGUUCGCCGGAAAAGUUGCACGCACACCCCCUACCUGGCGCGCCACUGUCGACGAAAGCUGGUCGGCAGUCUACCUUGGGGUAUACCCACGGUAGUAGUUUAUCGGUAGACGGUGUGCAAACUACGAACUCGAUGGUGACGCAAGACACGGACAAGCUUUUUAUCCAGGUUCGGCCGCCGAGUUGGCGUAAUACCUACGUCCUGCGUCUGGUUGUAUUGAUUUGUGUUCAGAGAAUAUGAUGUCCUAGGGGGUCCCUUGCCUCUCCUUAUAUAGUCUGGAGGGCAGGGUUACAGAUCUGGAAACUAAUCCUAGUCGGUUACAAUUGCCAUGGAUAAUUCGAUAUCAAUUCCUAUUCUAACCGACUAGAAUCCUGCUUGAUCUCCACAUCUUGUUUCCUUGCGCGAAACUCCAGGUUGUCGGAUCAAGCCUUGAACUCGUCUCGUAGUGGGCCAAGCCUCCUGGCCGAAGUCUAGCCGUAAGAGUAUAGGGGUUUAUACCCCCACAUUAAGGAGUUACUAAUGUCAUAGGCGAGGUAACAGAACAUUACUAACACAUACAAUAUAUUCUUUAUUCAAUUUAUAUUGGACAAAUAACAUCUCACUAUCGUGAUAUAUGUUGUUGUUCCUUGAUAUUUUUAAAUGUUUAUCAGACUCUACACGAAAUCCUAUUUGUUAUCAUAGAAAGGUCUAUAAAAUAGAGUGUGUGAGCCUGUGACGCCGCGUUUAUCAUGAUUAUGUUUGAUUUUAAAAGCUUAGCUUUUAUGAGAUAAUGUCAGUUUAAUAUUGGUAUUUAGUUUUUAUCGUAUUAUUGUCUUAUUGUGCGAACCAAGUGUUUUAAAUAUAAAAUGUUAGCUAUCCCGUAGCAACGUAUGGGCACACUACCUAGUCAAGAUAUAAGUGCCUUGGCGACAGUUUUCAGUGAUCAUAUCCUCCUCGCCACCGGUGAAGUGCCGGGCGUCGUCCAGCACCAUCGCGAGCAGGACGCUCAGCAGGUCCCUUGUCCUUAAAUUUCUUUCCUCACUGGCCGUCCUAACACCAGCAGCCUUCUUGUCAGCAAUGAUCCUGUGCAUCAUGUCGUCGAACCGGCCGGCAAUGCAGCUUCUUCAUCUUGGCCACCACGCCCUGCAGAUCCAGCCACCGGAGUGCCGGCACGAUGUCCCCAACGUUGAGAUUCUGCCCACCUGCAUCACCUCCAGCACAACCUCCUCGAUCGAACUCCCUCGCGCCGUCGUCGUCGCCAGUGGCGGCGAACACCAUGCAUGUCAUCUCCGCUGGAUUUGGGUUGGCGGGAGCUGAAGUUAGCGACGUGGGCGCGGCGGAAUUGCUCCGCCACGGCCGCCGACCCGGCCACCACGACGUUGAAGCAGCCGAAGCGCAGGCACAGCAGCGGGCUGUACACCAACCUUCGACAUCUCGUGCAACGUCUGGUGGUGCUUGGCUGCUUGUUGCCACCGUCCAGCUGCGGCAGGUUGCCCAGUGAGGUCCAUUGAGCGAUCGAGCCCAUGCCCAUGCCAAUAGUCCCAUACAUCUGCGGCCCCUCCAGUUCUGUCAAAAAAAAAAAGUGCCAUACAUGCAGUUAUCUGUGCCUUGAUUGUUCCAUGAUUUGGCAGUUAUAUAUAUGACCAUUAGAUGUUCAAGAGAUUAGCUAAAUCAUUUUCUAAAGGCAAAAAAACUUCUCUCUGUAAGAACAUCUCCAAAAAAUUUUGUAAAAUGGAUCUCGAAAAGGGGCCCGCAGGGUCUUCAUAGCAGCCGACCAAGGAGGGUUCCAGCAGACCAUGGCGUACCGCAGCUCGGCCAAAGGUGCAGAUGACAAACCGGCCCGACGACUGCUCUUUCACAACCAACAACUGCAGCUAAUAUAUGGGACUAAAGCUUUGGUUUUUGGUCAUUUCUCUGGAGUUAGUUAUAUAUAUAUAUAUAUAUAUAUGACCAUUGUUGGUUGUGAUAGAGCAGUCGUCUAAAACAUUGCAGCUAAUAAUUUUUUUAUUUGGAAUAAUCUAUGAUCCAAAUAUUUAGUUUGAAGUCCCAGUAUUUUGAAAUUAAAAACUUUUAAAUGACCUCAGAUGGAGAAAUGACAAAUCAAACUGAUGUAGAUCUGAUAGCAAUAUACAACUUCUCUAUUUGAAUUUUUGAUAUUUCAAAAUUCAAUUUUUUCAAAAGACAACAUCAAAUGGAAAAAUGCUGAAAAAUAAAUAUGUAGAACUCAACGAUAUCAACAUCUUUGUAGUUGAAAUAUUUUUCAUUUGAAUUCGUUUAGGAUUCCAAAUAUUCAUUUCUAAAUCCAAUAGUGAAUCCAAAAUGAAUGUAUCUACCCCUUAAACACAAAUGAAUUUCGGUGGAGUGGCUAGGGAAAGGUACCCGCGAGGCUUGAUAUCAUGGAUUCAAAUUGGCUCGGAUUUCUAGCCACUCCUAGAAAACCUUUACUUGUAGGAACAACCAGGUAGAGGAGGCAUAUCAGCCGUCUCAACAAAUCCUGGCUUUGUAUGUGAGACACCGUAAUAAAAUUUCUAAUUUUAAAAAGAUGGCCAUAUUUUACAGUGGUAUCAAUUUAGUCCUUUGUUCAUUGGAUUGAAUCAAUAUUUGGCCAAUUGUUUGAGUAAGCCGUAUAUUGUGGACCAAGUAUGGCAUGACAAGAUGGAACGGUGAUGGUGCUUGGUCUCCUUGCAUUUGAAGUGUUUGGAACAUAAACAUGCAAGCUCCAUUCGUGUCGAGAAGUAUGAUGCCGCUGUUGUUGAUGCCAAACAUGUUUGGGAAGUUAACAUAUCCAAAUUUUCUGCAUAGUUCAGACAAGCAAUUAGUGGCCAUAUGUUGUGUCUAUAUACUAGUACAAUUUCUUUGACUAAGCAGACUACAUAAAACAGAUCUGGACCCGAGUAACGCUGGCUAAUUGUUGUUGUCACUCUCUUGUUUCAUCCUUUUUCUUGUCUGUGUUUCCUUGUCACCUGCUGAGUGCUGGAAAAUAUUACUUUAGUUAUUGGACAGUUCAACAUCACAAGUCUGAAGGCCAUUAUGUGAGACUACUAUACUACCCCUAACAGAUAAAAGACGGCAGGGAUCCACCUUAAAUUACUAAUCAUUUUUUCCUUAUCAAUUACAAGUCUUGAUUGGCACGCCUACAAAUCCAAAACUGACAGGACCUGCACUAAAGAUAAGCAAGGCUUGUCGUGUGUCUUGCAUGGUGACCAAUUUUUUGCGUCAAUAUUUUUUUUUAAAAUGAAGUACUUUAAUAACUCAAGAUAAAUACAUCAAGUUGAUACAACCAUCUAAAGAUCAUUCCUGACCUCAGCAUUAAAGCACACGACCAAUAAAAAGUAAUUUUUUCAAUAAAAACAGUCACCCUGGUGACUAUCAAUCCGUAGACUAGACCGCCAUCCAUGUGCCUGGAUAAAAAUUAAAUUGACCACACGCUCCAAUGUUGCCAUAACGCUAGCUAUGACGAAAUCCUGUGUAUAUAUGCACCUGCUGGAGAAUAAUCCAUAUACAAAGCCAGUGGAUAAUAAAGUAGAUAACCUGCAAAUUAAAGGAGAGUUCAUAUUUUUUUCUGUCAAAAACCAUAUAAUUUCGACAUAGCCACAAAGACCAACACAUGUUGCUGCCGGUCCUAGCAGAAGUAGUUAUAGAAAUAUAGUAUGGAUAGAUGACCAUGUCAACUAGAUUAUGACAUAUUUAUUAUUUGGGUCCAAGAGAUAUCCUAGACUUAAUUUUGAUAUCAAAACUCUAGUAGAGUAUAACACACAUUGAAGAGCUCCAAUAUAGAUAUAGAGAUAUAGUUAGGUAGGUAUUAAGAAAAUAAAGACUGCUAGAAAUAUUUAUUAUUUGGGUCUAAGCUAACUAAGAGGUAUCUGUGACUCAAGAUAUCAAUACAUUAAUUCCAAAUUAACAAGGUGUUCCUCUAUAAAAGCACCUGCAAAGGCUGAAAUAGAUUAGACACAACAAGCUAUAUAUAUAUCGAUCCUCACCUCUUCUCCCUCGCAAAAACUGAAGGAAAACGACAGCAGCAUGACAAGGAUGGUGCACUACUUGAUGGCUACUAUGUUCGUGGUUCUUGUGAUGAUUUAUUCCAACUCUACAUCCUGCCAAGCCAGUAGGCACUCAUACCUUCAUACUUUGAUCUGCUGUCCACUGUCAUAUUUUUAGGCAUUUUCAUAUCAUCAUUUAUUAUUUUAACGACCAGUCUUGUUUUACUGCUAACAUUGCAUUGGGUUGUAUUACUGCAUAUGCAGGCUUGUUCCCUUCGAGUGUGAAGCUGCAGCCACCUUGCUUUGAGCCUCCGACUCACCGCUGUGUGGAUGGCCGCAGCUGCGUAUUUGUUUGCCAGUAUAACGGAAUCAGGACCUAUAGGGCAUUUUGCAAACAUCCUACACAUGCUCAGGAGCCCUAUUUGUGCUGCUGCCCACUAUAGAAUUGAAUGGUGUAAUUAACAAUUAAUGCAUCAAGCAUGUCUGCUGCAAAUUAAAUAAAAUCUGCUCAUCCAUCAUUCCAUCUGUUGUUAGCAAUCUUCUAUCUAUAUGCUGUUUUGUUUCCUACAGCACAAAAAAGUUGAUUCCAUAUGCAGAAAUUCAAGCAGAUACAGCACCCGAGUCCCCCUGGUUGCCCAUAGCUGCUUAUAUUUUUAACUGUUCUUUGCUCAUUACUUAAUUUAGAAAAUAUAAAGUUCUAAAAUGCGGCUGCGUGCAUAUUGAUGACAUUAGUGAUUUAUUCUUUUCCAGGCGCAUGGAUGUGGGAUAGGCAGGAGGUGCAUGUGUGCAUGACGGAGGGAUAUAUAUAUAUAUAUAUAUAUAUAUAUAUAUAUAUAUAUAUAUAUAUAUAUAGAGAGAGAGAGAGAGAGAGAGAGAUAUAAGGACAUAGAUAGUAUAGAUAACCAUGUGAACUAGAUUCUAAUAUUUAUUAUUUGGGUCUGAAAGAUCGAAAUUGAUCUCGACUUGAGAUAUUAAAACAUAGAAAAACAGGACAUUGAAGACAUAGAAACACAUUCCUAAGAAGUUGUUACUCUCUAAAACCACCUGCAAAUGUUGAAUGAAAUUUGCGACAAUUUAGGACAAGAUAUAUCCUCACCCCUACACACUGAACGGACAGACAGACAGAUAUAACUUGCUAAUAUAUCCAUGAGAAGUUUUUGUUCAAUUUCCAUUAGACAUGAUGGAUGCAUCAUUAUUACACCUGCCCAGUCAACGCCGCGGUGGGAAGCAGCACAUCCAUAAAUGGUGACCUUUUUUGCGGUAGGAAUCGUUUCACUAGAGCUUUCACCAGAAUGUCAUGCACAUUUAUUAGAGCGUCAUGUAAACAAAACUAUACUUUUUGCAUGAAACGAAUAGGUGAGAGAACGAUGUAGUUUCAACAUGGUGAAACUCCGCGGACGUUGUUUCCCACGCGGUGAAACGGGAUGAAAUCCCCACUGAGGGCCAGAUCACCAUCUUGUAUGUGAUCUAAUCAUUUUGCAGCAAUGAAAUGCUUUGCUUCGCUUUGGAAACAACCAAGUGAAAUGUUUCAUUACUGGGGUUAUUUCAUAGAUGGUUUUAUUUCAAUCUUGAUGACGUGUUGGUAUGUGAAACCGUGCAGUGACACUAUCCAUUGAGACUGGCCUUAUCAUGCAAAGCACAUAAAUAUUCGCAGAUGAUAUUCGUAUAGUAGUUAUCAUUUGUAGUCCCUCUAUUCUAUAGUAUAGUGUAUUCUAGAAACUUCUAAGACAAAAUAAAAGAAAACAUAAAAGACGCAUGCAACCUCAUUUUGUUUUCUAAUUAGACACUAUAUCAUAAACUUGAUUAAUGGUGAGUGAUUGAUAAAUGGAGAGUAUUUAAUGCAAAAUUGAUUUUAUCCUCUAGAAAGAAUUACUCCAUCCAUACCCAUAAUUCUUGACUUAGGACGUGAUUGUGUUAACCAAGAAGUGAUUAAUUAAGUGUUCAUUUUUCAUGUCUGCCCCUAAUAAAUUAAAUAUGGUUACGAGUACUCUCUGUACAAGAAAAUAAUUCAGCUCAGCUGGCUAGUACUCAGAGGCUAGAGUAUUGGGUUUGAGGUUGCAAACAGGUCCAACAGGAACCCGCGUGGCCAGAACGUCAAGCUUUGUGAAAAAGCUUGAGUUGCUUAGAACGUCAACUAAAACAGGUACAAAGAGAGUAUAUUUGAGAACAAAUUUUAAUGCUAGAAUGCAUUAUAUUACUGGAUGGAUAGAGUAAGUCUCAAGCAAGGUGGCAGCGGCUGACACUAUGGGUUGAAGCCUACACAUCCAAUGCAGCGUAAUAUUAGUCAACAAUUAUUCACCUGAAAGCCCGAAAAUAAUGCAGUGUAGCUAAAAGUAGGGGUGCCCACAUCACUACUAGAUUUUCUGGCUUUUGCCACUAAAAUCUUGGCAACAACAUAAAUUCGGUUGGAAUAGGGGUAGGUGGUAUUGCCGCCAUAUUGAGAGAUAGUAGCAAUAAGUUUAGACUAUUCCCACGAAAACCUUGUGUUCCAAUCAUUCUCAAUUUAGUUGCGAGAUGUAGGUGUUAAGUUAUUGUUGCCGCCGCCAUAUUGGGAAAUGGUUGCAAUUACACAAUACUAUUACCAUGAAAAUCUUGUACAGCGAUAAUCCUUAAUUUUGUUGCAAUAUUUAGGUGCUGUUGCAUGCAACAAUUUUGAGAAAUGGUUGCAAUGUAGUUUGGAAGACGAUAAUGCACGCGAUCGAGCAACGAAAGCUGGGACAUCGCCUGGACCAUGUCACGACGCCGUGGGAUGAGCAGCAUCCGGUCUACCACUGCCAUGGCCUCGGCCUUGUUUGCGGCAGGCGGCGGUGAGCACGUCGAUUUACCGAGUUUGUUAGCUGGUCUAAAAAGUUAUGGCUGAAAAUAUGUUCGCUGGUCUAAAAAGUUAUGGCUGAAAAUACUGUUCGCUGAUUUAUUAUGAGAAAAAUAUUGUUGGCUGAUAGAAAAAAUAUGGCUUAUAAGUGUAUGUAAGAAAGACAUGCAUGCACGUUUAUGUAUAUUAUAUUAUUAUUAUAUCAUUGGAUGCAUUAAUGGAUAGGCAUAAGCUGAUCCAAUACACACAUUAUGCAGGCUGCUGUAUACACCUUGUUACAUUUACGUUCUUAUUUCAAACGUACAGCAGCACCUGGACGGCUUGACGUUACCAUCACAAACUGGUUUAUAGUACCGAUAGCCGUGGGAUUUGGACUUGGCACGGCAUGAAGCAUCGCACAAUGGUGGUUUUGUUUUGUCGUGGCAGUCAUAUGCUACGUCGUUGCACUCCGUCCUGUACUCUGCACGUACACACAUGCAGAAUGCAAUCAGCCAUCACAUAUGCACAUCCGAGAUUUUUAAUAAUUAGUACGAACACGCUAGGCAUGCAUGCAUGCUAAUUUUUCGUGUACCAGCAGCAAAGGUAGACACGAAAAGAGAGGACACGAGCAGCAGACCAACAAACACAGCAGCACCCAUGGAGUGCACGCUGCUGCUGCUGCUGCUUCUUGUGUUGAUGAUGAGUGCCAUUGCUAGUAGCUAGGAUGACUCGAUCUGAGAGUGCUGCCCGAUGCACAAGCUAGCUAUGCCGAUGGUAAUACGGUGCUUAUAUAGAAGCAGGCUGUUAAUGCAUUAGCAUUAUAUUACAGUGUAGACAGAUAUCUCUAUGCUAAGUUAAUGUGACACUAUCUAUCUAUCUAUCUAUCUAUCUAUCUAUCUAUCUAUCUAUCUAUCUAUCUAUCUAUCUAUCUAUCUAUCUAUCUAUCAACCUCUCUGUCUAUCUUUCUUUCAUUCUUUCAUUCUUUUUUCUAUCUAUCUAUCUAUCUAUCUAUCUAUCUAUCUAUCUAUCUAUCUAUCUAUCUAUCUAUCUAUCUAUCUAUCUAUCUAUCUAUUGGUGUUACCGGGACAACACCUUUUAAUCCCGGUUAGUGUUUCCAACCGGGACUAAAGGGUGGGCUUUAGUCCCGGUUAGGGAGACCAACCAGGACUAAAGGUCCCUUCUGCCGAACUCUGACACCAUAGCCGUUGGGCAGGAGACUUUUAGUCCCGGUUGGUCUCACCAACCAGGAGACGUUUUUGUCCUGGACGCUGAUUGAGCCGAGACUAUUGUUCGCUUUGGGAAAGUGACUAAAGGCCUGUUCUAUAUUAGUGUAUCUAUCUAUCAAUUUAUCUAUAUAUUUAUCUAUCUAUCUAUCUUUCUUUCUUUGUUUCUAUCUAUCUAUCUAUCAUCUAUCUAUCUAUCUUUCUUUCUUUCUUUCUUUCUUUCUAUCUAUCUAUCUAUCUAUCUAUCUAUCUAUCUAUCUAUCUAUCUAUCUAUCUAUCUAUCUAUCUAUCUAUCUAUCUAUCUAUCUAUCUAUACCUACCUACCUACCUACCUACCUAUCUAUCUAUCUAUCUAUCACUCACAACUCAAGAGAGGAUUUUUAAUUAGAUAUGGGCAUAUUUGGCCCUAACCAUUGCUUACUAUCUAUAGAGGCGAUUGGCACGUCCACCCCUUAAAUAGAUUAGCCAUUUAAAGUGUUAGGUGUGUUAGAAGGCUGCUACUGCUAAUUGAUUUUCACUGAACCCACGACCUACUACUCAGCAAUAACGCCUGACUACUACUGCCCUACACAUACUAAAUGGUGAGUAAUAUACGAUGUUAUCUUUUUGUCAAUAUUUCUUAAUAUUGUAUUCAAUAAUUUUCCUACAAAAUAAAAUUAAAUAAAAAAGUUUCAACUAUAGAGUUCUAAGUAUUUUAAUCCACCAUUUAUAUUACUAGUAUUAAUUGAUCAUGGACAUAAUACUCUAGAUGGUUUCACUUAGACUUCAUGGUGUCACACCCCAAAAUUUUUUAUUUUGGGUUGUGCAUAGAAAACACUAAAUAAAUAUCAAAUGAAUUUAAUAUUUGUACAAGAUUUGCCAAGUUUAGUUGAGUUAGUGCAAAUUUAGUUAUAGGAAAAUGUGGAUUUCCAAAUUGUUCCAAAUUAAUUUGAUGGUUUUUUUGUUGAUGUGGUAUGAUGCUUGCUCAUUGCUUGACUUUGUGUUAUGAGUGGGUAAAGUUUUAGGGCACAUUUAGUAAGCCGUUUAUCUUUAUGUGGCAUGUCUGUCAUUAAUCAAAUCUCUUCAUUCUCAAUCUUAAUCUUUUUCAUAUGGAGUUGCCCCAGAUCUUAUUCUUCUACUCUAAAUCAUUCCUUUGAGUUUAUCUUCCAUCAACCGACCUAUUAAAACUUCUCAUGAAUUUUUCACCAUUUUUUGAAUUCUUUCUAGCCUUUCUAAAAGCAUAAUUUAAUUUUUAGAUGCUCCUAGAUAUCUUUCCAUGAGCUCUAAAUACAUUAUUUAGGUUCCUCAUGUUCUAAAGUGUCUCUAGGAUUUUCCCCAAAGUUUUGGAGCCUUCGAAGUAUUUUUCGAGGCCUAAAAAUAAAUUAUAGACUUUUCUGGAAUUAUUUUAAUCUUAAAAUUAAUUAAUUCCAAAAAUACUAAAAUAUCUUGUUUUUCUACCGACCUCGAACCCUAAUACUAUGUAUAUGCUAGUGUAGCCCUUGACACGCUGAUUUCGAAAGUACGACCGCUUUUCUCAGCCACCACUCCUAUCGUCCUAGAUUUAAAGCCAAAGUUUCGAAACCUAAAGCUCCGGCGAACCUUCGGCGAGGUUUUCCGAUCAUGUUCUAGCGCCGCCCUUGGCCAGCCAGCCGGCCGCUCUUGGCCCUAGCCGAGGCCCCCUCGUUUACUUGCACGGAGUAGCUCCUAGCUCUGAAUCAUGACCACGUACAGGUGUUCCAAGGUCGAAGACGAAGGUAUUCACAGUUUUGCUGUCCAUCCAAAUCCUCAUCGAUUAAUCGUUUUAACUUCAAUUCAAGUGAUUCAAGUUACAUUAAACUUAUGUUGACGUGCUCGAUGUAGUAGUACAAAUAUUUAUUAUGUAGCUCAAUUCUGAAUUUAUUGAUUUAAAUUUAAUUUAUUUAAUAGCAUUAUAAUUAAAAUCAACCUAGGGUUAUAAUUCCGAUUUUGUUACGUUGCGACCAUACCGACUUUAAGAUACGUGUUAGCAACAAUGUUUGUCAUGCUAUGAGUUUGUAAAUUUAAUUAAUCAUAUUAAUUUUGAUUCAUGCUUAUAUAAUGUCUUAUUGAAUUAAAAGUGACAUAGGUUUAUAAUUUCAAUCUUUAUAAAUAAAUAAGUGUUAAUAUAAUUAAUAAUUACUUAAAUGUUUCUUAAUUAUAGUUGUUUGGUUAAAUAUGAAAUGUGUAACUAAUAUGAUUAAUGAUUACUGUCUUUUAGUUUAUUAAAAGCAACGUAAGUCUAUAUUUCAUAAAUAAAUGUUAAUAUGGUUAGUACCAUGAGAAAGGCCUUUUCAUUAUGACCUACUAAAUUCAAUUUUGAACCAUAAAUGUUCUUGUUUAGCUUUUAUCAUAUAUUCUAGGUUUUCCAAACUAUAAAUAUGGCUUAAAUGAUAUAUAAUUAUUUAUGAUUAAAAUAUAACUAAGUUUUAACUUUGGCUUUGUAAUUAAUCUAAUUUAAUAAUUCUACUUUAGGAUGUUUCUCUAAAAUAUUCAUCACCUUGUUUCACUAAAAUAAAAUAAAUACACCCUAUAAUCUUUUGCCUGUCACUACUACACAAAUACUAACCGCGGCCUAUUAAAAACACGCACAAAUGCGGGCAACAUUUUAAACCGCCUUGGUUAAUAGCCCGGAUUAACCGAGGCGGUUUCCUAAAGUUCAUUAACCAAGGCGGGGAAUGUAACAUAACCGCCUCGGGCGGGCAUUAUAAUACAAACGCCACGGUAAAUCAUUAACCAAGGUGGUUAUUUUACAAGGCCUGCCACCUAAAAUUUGGCCCAGCCUGCUACUGUAUCCGUCCCAGCAAAAGCCCAAAAUCCCAACACAUUGUGGGCUUAUAUAAGAUAGCACAGUUAGGGUUUUUACUCUCACCCACUAAAAUAUUCAUCACCUUGUUGUACUAAAAUAAAAUAAGUACACGUCGUGGUCUUUUGUCUCUCACUACUACACAAAACAUUAACCGCGGCCUUUUAAAAACACGCACAAAGGCGGGCAACAUUUUGAACCGCCUCAGUUAAUAACCUGGAUUAACCGAGGCGGUCAUUUUUUAUUAACCGAGGCGGUUACAGAUAAUCGCCUCCUAAAAUUCAUUAACCAAGGCGGGGAAUGUAACAUAACCGCCUUGGGCGGGCAUUAUAAUACAAACGCUAUGGUAAAUAAUUAACUGAGACGGUUAUUCUAUAAGGCCUGCCACCUAAAUUUUUGCCCAGCCUGCUACUGUAUCCGUCCCAACAAAAGCCCAAAAUCCCAACACAUCGUGGGCUUAUAUAAAAUAGCACAAUUAGGGUUUUCGCUCUCACCCUCUCUCUCACUCUCUCCCAACCCGAGCGCCGCACCAGGAGCUCAUGCCCCUAUCUGUCAUGGUCGCGACUCCUCCCUUCCUUCUUGAAGCAGCGAGUGCGCCACCCUCUCCUCCCCCCUCUCCCCCUCCAAGUACGCCGCCCUGGCCGUCCCCUUCCUCCCUCUCUCAAGCAAAAGAGGCGGUGGUGCUCCUCCAGCAUGGGCGCAGGCAUGAGGACUCAGCUCCUGUGCGGGAGAGGGCGUGGUGGCCGGCAGUACAGCCGAAGGAGGUGGCUGGCCGGUGACUUCCAGCAUGAGAAAGCGCCCUCCCCGGCGAUGGUGUCUAGCGGAAGAGGCACCCAACGACGGUGCGCGAGCAAGGUCCUACGACGACGAGUCCAGAUAUGGACACGGUGCGUCUAGAUCUAGCCACAGUGGGUCCAGAUCCGCCAACAGGGAGGCUGGCUCUGGCUUGAGCGACCAACAACAACGGCUGCCCGUGGAUGGGCUUGGCAGGCCCAUGGAUGGGCGCGGUGGGCCUGUCCAUGUUUUUUUAUUUUUUUUAUUUGAUUAACCGAGGUGGGCAUUUGAACUGCCUCGGUACAGGUUUGAUUUACUGUGACCUUUAGUCCGAGGCGAUUGCAUUGUCUGCCUCGGUUAAUCUAAUUUGCCUGCCUCGGAAAAGAUUUUAGUAGUAGUGUCUUUUUAUAGCCAGCCACGAUAGUUGCAUCCUUUUUAACGAUAGUUAUGAGCGUUUCUUGUGACCUUGUAGCAUUAGCUAUCUAUUAAUAUGCUCUUUUAUCUUGUAUGGUGUGUAUUGUUCUUAGUUGUUUCUAUUUGUUGCUCUUAUGUUUGCCUCUGUGUGGUGCUUGAUGCGAGUAGACGAGAACUGUUUGUGGGCGUUAAAGAUCAGAAGAUGAUAACCGAAAGCUGAUGGUGUGAGUAUUGAGCAAGUGCUUAAGGCAAGUAUAGCUUCGGACUAUUCUUGUUACCAACACACUCGUAAUUAUACAUAUAUCAUAUACAUAUGUCCACCUUGAUGACCUUAGUGAAAUCACAUAUGUUUGAUAUCCUAAAUACCUUGAUACCUUUUUGGAUAUGCAUUGGGGUAGUAUUUACUAGCGCUGAACUUAUAAUCAUGAUCUUGUAACAUGAAUAAUGGAAUAUGCAAUAAACACUAAAAGAUGCCUUUAACAACAUGAACAAGAAGGGUGAAAAGAGCUCUGGCUUUUGCUAGUUCAUCUUGACCCUCCAUAAGGACUUAUCCCUUGGCAAAAUCUGGGAUUUUUUGUACAACUGUGAGGGCUAUAUGGCUCUGACUUUAGCUCAGUAUGAAGAACUUUUCUAGCUUAUUAGAGGUUACCCGUAACGGUGCUAAAGGGAUUUGCCGAUUUGGGUAUAGUGCGGCCUCUGUCCUUAUGUGUAUAGGCUACGCCUCAUUGUGCCAUUCGGAAAGGGGCUCUAUAUUUGCUCGCCGACUGGAAAUCGUGCGGCCCAAACUUGUUAGACGAACUUUAGGCUUCAUAGUGAACCCUGCCGACCUUCCUUGCUACUGGGUUAAGAGGCUGAUCACCUCGGACGAAAUGGUAAAUCAUGACUCACAGUGGAGGUGUACACCUCUAUGUAGAGUUUAAUAAUCUGAUAUACUAGCCGUGCCCACGGGUAUGAGCAACCCGGAAAAUUGAUGAAAUAGAUGGUCACUAAUUAAUGAUGAUAAUGAUAAUAAAUGAUGGAUAAUUAUGUUGUUUAUGAUCAUUCUUUAUUCUUGUAUACAUCGAUCAUGCAUAUGGUUAUAGGAUUAUAUGCUACCUUGAUAUUGUUGGUAUAAAAUGAUAAACAUGCUACAUAUACAUAUACAUAUAGCCAGAACUAGGAGAGAAAAUGAAGUACUUACAUGCAUGCUGUAUGAAUUAAAAAUAUAUAAUUACCUCCUGCGUCACAGGAUGAUAAUUACCUGCUGCGUCACAGAGCUGCUAUUGGCAGGAGUCCAGGGCCCUUCUUCACAUGAUGUGCCAUGGUAUUAGUGACCAAACCAAGAAGUUCUUCUAUUCUUCUGCUUCGAUUUGCAUGCCUUGUGCAUUACACCUUGUAGUGGCCCAACAUAAGGCCUUGUUUAGUUCCACCCAAAAUUCAAAAAAAAAAAUUAAGGUUCCCUACCAUAUCGAAUAUUGCGGCACAUAUACUUCCUCCGUACUUAGAUUAGAUGACGUUGUGAGCUUCCUCCGUACUUUCGGAAAGAUUGACGCCGUAGCUUCCGAAGGGGUCCAAUGGACUGCACUGGCCUUGCCUUUCGAUCGCGGCCGGGCGUCCCAGUCUUCCGCCCGCAAGAAUCAAGCUAACAGCCUCUCGUCCACGCUAACGGACAGGCAUAAGCUAACGGCCUCUCGUCCUCUCGUCCACGCUAACAGACGGGCAUAAGCUAACGGGCAUCUCCAUCGAUCAACGGAACAUGCAGGCCAAGUAAAAAAAAAGGCGCAGGCCAUGGAAUUGAACCCCUUGCCUCGAAAUUAGCCCCGAUAACCAAUAGAGCAGAGAACGUUUCAUGUCUAGAAUACACACGUGCUUCUUUUUAAUAAGGGCAAAACCGAAAGAUUACCCCCUAAUUAAUGACUCCUUAGUAAGCACAAUUAUGUUCUAAACUUUAUGUAUUUCUAGUAUGGAGGGAGUAUGGAGCAUUAAAUAUAGAUAAAAGAAAUAACUAAUUGUACAGUUACCUGUAAUUUGCGAGAUGAAUCUUUUGAACCUAGUUAGUCCAUAAUUAGACAAUAAUUGUCGAAUAUAAACAAAAGUACUACAGUACCCAAUACCAAAAAAUUUCUGCAACUAAACAAGACCUAAUUAUAGGAACACACAAAAAGUAAAACAGUGGAACUGGAUCUCACCUUUACAUGGAUACCGUCAUAACCUUCUAUCGCAACUAAACGAUACCUUAACCUCUUUUGGUUGGAAUGUCAUUUACAAGCAGCGGAAGAUACUUUUUUUGGGUCAAUUUUGGCUACAAACAAAAUAAAAAGUGAGGAUUUGAUUACUGUGAUGAAUGUAUUUUCAGCCCACACAGGACCCGGCGUUGGUCUCGUUAUUCUAGUGGGCCAUACAAAAAACAACGCAGGAUCCAUUGCCCUCGUUCUACUAGGGGCCGUAAUAUAAAACAAGUGCUCAGUACUGUGUCGCUGUGAAAACGUGUCUCCUGCCGCCCUGGACACACGUUGGUCGGGAAGGAUCAGAGUUGGAACCCGCCUAGCCUCAAAACGUCGAUGGCCUGAUCCGUGAACCGAAGCGUGGCAAUCAAUUACACCUGUAAUAGAUAAGUAAGAGAGAGUUAAUCAAUAACAGUUCUAAAUAUAUAGCUCUCUGAGAGCCGAUAAGGAUGGAGUUCGACUAAAGAGUCGAUUCCAGCAUGCAUGCAAAGAUAGCAGUUGAAGCUUACAAUAUUACUAGAACAUCAUGCGCCCUUCGGGCGCCCUAUUAUGACUUUAAAACAAAUGUCCACAUUCGAUAAACAUAUGGCUUUACAUCUAAGCAAAACAUAGAUAUAUAAGCUCUGUUGUAUCCAGUCUAAAAGCAUAGGAAAAAAAAAUUCUUUCCUAGAAUCAAUACUUUGCAAACCCAAAUACUCCAAGUUACAUAUUAAGAUCAAGUACAUCUUACACCAACUUAGCCAUGUUAAUAAACUAAUGGCUAAUUAAAUAAUCACCUUGUGUUUGUACUAAAAAAUUUGUAAAGGAAGCUACUUUGUAUAGUACUCUUCAUAUUUUGACAGCUGCUUAGUUUGGUUGCAAAGAGAAACACAGCAUAAACAUUGGGUAUAAUUGUUUCUAAUAUUAACACCAAAAUCAUGCAUUAGGGAUCACAUAUCAGACUAUUAUAAGAAUAAUAUCAUAUUCCUAAAAUAACUUUGUGCUUGAAUCCUCAUCAAGUCAGUGAGUUACUAAUCUGAUAAUAACAGCCACCACCACCGUCUAAGAAAUGCAUAAACAACUUCUGUAGACCAAUUCAUACCCCUAUAGGUCAGUCACAUUAACCAGCUCGCAGCCACAUCUUCGAAAAUGCAAUACACAGUAGGAAAAAUAUUCUUCCGAGUGUCCAUGAAUGUUAUUUCGACAUGCUAGAAGUAAUGUCUUUGAGAAACCAGGAACGUCAUACACCAGAAUAUAAGCUUCGAAGAAUGUUGCCAACAUUUGCUCUUCAAGUGGAGAGAAUGCUCAGGUUGCCUAUGCAUCCUGGAAAUAAAAUUUCAAGUGAGUUUAUUUGAAGAGUAGACAUCUAUAUCUAUCUACAUAUCCUUUUUGUGCUAAUAUUAUUUAACAGAAACACCACAAAGAUAAAAACAUACACCUUCCAUUUUCUCACUUGUUAUCACAGUCCACAAAUAUGUCCAUGUAAAGGAAAACAACUUUGUAUUCUAGGUGGUAGUAGGAAACUGCCAGGCAAAAAAUAGUACCCCUGCAGAAAAAGGAACUCAAAAUCCGACUUUUUCUUUGUUGGCAAUGCAAAAGUGGUUCAGAAUAAUAUCGCUAUGUGAAUGCAUUCUCUAAUUAAUAAAUCAUUUACUUUUGUUUACCUGAAACAUCUUCCACACAUUCUUCUUCUCAAGGAUAACCCAUGUGUCUAGCAAAUGCUGAAAAAAAAACAGAAAAUUACCCAAGUGAUUUCACCUUAUCACGGGACCCCCUAUCAUAAAAAACAUCAAUACACCAUUUAAACACAUUCCGUCUAGCAUAGUCUAACUGUGUUACUGCAUAUACAUUGUGCCUGAAGGAAUAAAUAUUUAGGCCCCCUUUGGAACACAGGAUAGGAAAAGUAUAGGGAUAUGUUCUCCUAAUCCUGUUGGAUUCAAUAGUACUGGAAAAUAGAUAGGAAGCUCUUUGGUAGCACCACAGGAAAAGCAAACGAAUUUUACACACCAGUUGGAAUUUGAAUAGCUAGCAGUUGCAUUUCGAAAAGGCACAUAGAUAGCAUAUCUCCAAAUUUGCUCAGUCACAAAUGGCAUACAACAACAUAUAUCUGUAUAUGCAUCCAAUCUGAUGAACAAUGUAGCAGAAAAAAAAGAACUUAACAGAAAACAGAGCUGCUGAUAGCAGGGGCAUGUCAGUAGUGUGUAUAGACGAAGUGCACCUCCCAUCAUAGUCUCAUUCAUAGGUCAACACAAAUCUUCCCAAAUCGAAAUAAGAAUAUCCAUUCUCAGAUUAGGGGGGAAGAAAAUGCCUAAGAUAGACAUGAAGCUUACAGAUCUUGGAAGCUAGAGUGGCUGUGGCACACUGCAACCUCGUGGGUUUUGAUUUGGGAUCUUGGUUCAUGAGGAUUGGGGAGGGUGGUGUAACACCCUAAAAUUUGUCUUUUUGAAAUAAAGCUAAAUUAAUUCAAUUUUUUGUAUGGUUGUGC